UGGACUAUACUGGCCACCGUUGUACUUGAAGCACCCAGGCAUGCAGAAAAUCCCCUUUCUCUUACUGUUCUUUGGAUCGAGGUGUGGCCGAGGCAGGGAUGGCGCAAAGCUUCUGGCCGCGGAUCUAGCGCUGCUCGCCUUCCCAUGAUGCGCAUCUCAUUCUCAUCUCUGCUGAACUGGAGAGGCAGACGCCGGGACAGAGAGCUGGGUCAUCGCGUUCGACGACCAUCUCCUCCAAAGUUUUCCUCGUCGUUCUCGUAUUAUCCAAUCGCCCAGGUCGGCUUUAGCAUGUCCGUUAAUUUUCACCAUUUUACUUUCAUUUUUAGAUUGUAAAUAAUAUUAUUUUUUUUAUGCUUCAAACGGGAUGUGAUUGAUUUCAAUUAUUGGAUCUGCGACACAGGAUAGAGAUCGGCAUGCCGGGCAUGGUCGAUGCGGCAUAGAUACGCAUCAUUCCUACUUCCUCCGUAGCGCCCAAUUCUUCACAGGUUUGUUUCCCCUACUAGUUGGAUUAAAAAGUAUAUACUUUUCUAUUUGAUGUAACAACAUAUUAGCAAGUUGUAUAACUCAUACAUUUAUUUAAGAGAAAGCAAAAACGCUUGCAUGUUUUAACUAAAAUUUGCUUCAUAUGCCUUAAUUGACAUGCAGCCAAUUCUCGACUGGCUUACUGGGUGUAGGUGAUACUUGUGAUGCGUCUAGGUGAAUCGGCACAUAAAUACCUAUGUCGAUCUUUGCUUCCAGUGGAAACUUUGGGAGUUCUUUGUACGAAUUAGCACUGUGUGAGUUCUUGUUGCGUGUGCAUUCAUAGGAUCCUUGCUUAUUCUUGCAGCCUCCCUCGCAAGGGUAGUGGUCAUGAUGCUCACUCUCACUGAUAUAUGCAUUAUUUAUCAACUGUAACCAUCAGAACAAACUAUUUUUACUGACCAUACAUGCAUACAUUGAGGCCCUUGGGCUAGUUGUCUGCGCGUAAUUAGCUUUGUUUGUCUAGUUUUCUUUUCCUUCUUUGUUCUUUCCCUGCUGGUAACAGCAUGUACAGUUUUUCCCCCCACUGUAAUGAAUUGGCAGAGCUCCUGCAGUUACCCGUCAAAAAAUAGGGGAAAAUAAUAUUUUUCAAGCCAACUUUUGACAGAGUAAAUAAGCUUAGUCACUACAAUCCAAAACCUAAUUUAACCUCACCAUUAGAUGCCGGCAGAGCGAGCACAUGAGUCUUCAUCUUUAAGCAUUGUACUUUCGACAUUUGCUUUGACAAUAAUAUUUGGUUUCCAUGCUCAUAUUCAUUUACUAUAGUCCCAUCAGUACCAUGUGGUUCCUCUAUCACAGACAUCAGUCCAUAUUCCUUUUGCCUAGUUGAAUCUUUAUUAUUCUGUGACUGCAAAAUAAAAAUAUAUUUGAAAAUUAGACAUAUCUUUGAAAUGCAAAAGUAUAUAUUGGAAAAACCUAUUACUCUUAUAGCCGGCAUGUUCUUAUUUCCUUAUUUGAAGAUGUUGUCGACUUCAUCAUUCAUCAAAUCCUAUGUGGCAUGCAAGAUAUACCAAUGAAGAAAACUAGACCCACAAUACUUAAUUUUUAAAGAACAUAUUGUUCAAGUACAUCAUAUCUCCUUUUUGAAAAAAAGUACAUCAUAUCAAGCCCAUCAUCAGGUAUGUAUGUUCAUUUUACUGCAUAGUUUUGCAUGCCGAAGCGAAAGAUAAAUCUUCUUCCAUAUAAUUUUUGUAUAAUCUUUGGCGCUGCUUUAGAUUUCCUUCACAUCCAAUGAAUUUAGCAAAUUCGAGACAAAUGUAUUAAGCAACUUUUUGUCCUCGUCAAAUAAAGUGUAACUUGUAGUAAUUGUACAGUGCUAAUUUGGAGUUGAAUAUGGCACCUACCAUACCAUUGUUAUCAGUGCAAAGCAAAUAAUAUAGAAAAGUUCCUGUUCAAAUUAGUAGAUUUCUAAAAUCAAUGAACACAUAGUCCUAAAAAUUACCAAGAAAAUCAAAGUUCGCAUUUUAAAGAAACUGUUAGACAUAUAUAAGUCAAGAUGCUAUUAUAACAUAUAUGACUGAAUUGUGACUACCUGAUUUCUCUAGUUUUUUUUGCCUCAUCUAAGGAAGUUCUUGUAAUGCCCUUCCAUAAAACAUUUGCUCUUCUAGUGUGUUGUAGUACUAUAUCGAUCAUUUUCGAUAAAGAUUCUUCCGCUGGGUGCCUGUAUAUAUGGAUUGACAUUGAGUCACAGUUAAUUAGUCGAUAAAUCAGAAUAGCUGGUGUUUCGUACCAGUUAAGAAGUUCCUGAGGUUAUGCUCCUGUGGCAUUGGUUGACUAUAGGCACAAACGUAUCAAGAACAAAUCUGUUAGAUAUUUUUCUUUUUGUAAAUAACAUAUCAGGUUUUAAAAUUGCUGGACUUACCAUUGAAUUUUUGCAGUAUUGUUGAGGUCACAAUAGACACUUUGGUUGUCGAUGAGUAUGUAUAGCAUAAACCUGCUCAUCCAUCAAGAUCACAUCAAGGCUCAUAAGUUCAUUGAUUGGAGGAUUGAUUGUAUCCCAUGUUCUCAUUACUUUCACUUAAACAUCCCAGUUUUGGUCUCUUGUUGAAAUCUCUCAGCUUCUUGUAUUCCCUAGCGUUUUCACUUCAAAAAGAUUAAAAUGCAUUGCUUCAAAAGGAUUGAAAACAUAGUUGUCAAUUGAUAAUGUACAUAUGAAGAUUUUAGCUGAAAGAUUGAGUUCAUAGUAAUGAUACUUACUAACCUUGUUGGUUCAGGUGAGAAGGAAACUCAGAUGGUUGGGUGUGACUUAUGUAGAAAAUAGUAGCAUGCCACUUCAUAAUUUGGGCUGGCUUCGAUAUUGGUUGAGCGCCAAGUCUGAACAUCUCGGAUCAUGGCGUGUUUGCCUCAAUCGUCCAUGUGGUGGGAUCGUCGAGUCACGGCGUCCUAGAGUUGGUUGGCUUCAAUUUUCCUGGUCGUGGUGCUGAGUCGCGACUUGCUGUGUCUUUGAUUUCCAGGCGGAUGGUGGGCAUGUGCUGGCUGCUGGGUACGGCCGGCUAUGUAUUCUGAUGGAUGAGUUCUGGCCGUGUCCUUAUGGAGUCCUUGUAUGUUUAUAUUCUUUUUUCCAAUUAAAGGCUAUAAGUGACAUUACACUGAUGGGUGCGGCCAGAUUUGUAUUUUUAUGGAGACUCUUUCCAUAAGCAAUCUUUGUAUGUGUUUACGUGUCCUUGGCUCACCGAGUGUCCGAGUUAUGUAUGUGUCCUUCAGAGUCCCGGUUAGGAAUUGCACGUGACAAUAGUUGGACAUGUAAACGUCUAUAUCUAAUAGUAGUGGUUAGAGAUAAUUUAUUCUGUGUUGUGUUAUUUUUG
rnacentral:lncRNA from 1 species